rnacentral:rRNA from 1 species
GUGAACGCUGGCGGUAGGCCUAACACCUGCAAGUCGAACGGCAGCACAGUAAGAGCUUGCUCUUCCGGGUGGCGAGUGGCGGACGGGUGAGGAAUACAUCGGAAUCUACUUUUUCGUGGGGGAUAACGUAGGGAAACUUACGCUAAUACCGCAUACGACCUACGGGUGAAAGCAGGGGAUCUUCGGACCUUGCGCGAUUGAAUGAGCCGAUGUCGGAUUAGCUAGUUGGCGGGGUAAAGGCCCACCAAGGCGACGAUCCGUAGCUGGUCUGAGAGGAUGAUCAGCCACACUGGAACUGAGACACGGUCCAGACUCCUACGGGAGGCAGCAGUGGGGAAUAUUGGACAAUGGGCGCAAGCCUGAUCCAGCCAUACUGCGUGGGUGAAGAAGGCCUUCGGGUUGUAAAGCCCUUUUGUUGGGAAAGAAAAGCAGCAGGUUAAUACCCCGCUGUUCUGACGGUACCCAAAGAAUAAGCACCGGCUAACUUCGUG